CUGUACAAAACAUCAUGCUCAAUAGUACAAGAAACUGACCAACACAUUAUACUGAACUUGAGGUUACAGGAAAUAAAAAACAACAACAAUACAUUAAGAAAACAACCACAAUCUCCUCUAUAAUGUUGUGGUGGUGGUGGUGGCCAGUACCCUCAACACUACACAGUCCACCACAAUUUCCUCUAUAAUGUUGUGGUGGUGGUGGUGGUGGUGGUGCAGGCCAGUACCCUCAACACCACAAAGUCCACCACAAUUUCCUCUAUAAUGUUGUGGUGGUGGUGGUGGUGGUGGUGCAGGCCAGUACCCUCAACACCACACAGUCCACCACAAUUUCCUCUAUAAUGUUGUGGUGGUGGUGGUGGUGGUGCAGGCCAGUACCCUCAACACCACACAGUCCACCACAAUUUCCUCUAUAAUGUUGUGGUGGUGGUGGUGGUGGUGGUGGUGCAGGCCAGUACCCUCAACACCACAAAGUCCACCACAAUUUCCUCUAUAAUGUUGUGGUGGUGGUGGUGGUGGUGGCCAGUACCCUCAACACCACAAAGUCCACCACAAUCUCCUCUAUAAUGUUGUGGUGGUGGUGGUGGUGGUGGUGGUGCAGGCCAGUACCCUCAACACCACAAAGUCCACCACAAUCUCCUCUAUAAUGUUG